GAGAUUUCUGGAAGUCUGGGUGGAAGGGGGAGUAUUUUCAGCGUACAAAAAUAAGAUGGCUUCCACAAUGAAAGUGUAUCGUAUCAUUACGAAAAGAAGACUCUGUAGUGAUGACAAGGCAAACAGAUGCACCUGGAGGUAGCUCUUGGUGAAUGAGCUUAAAUCCAGGCUGUGGACUCUGUUCCUGUAUUUCCUGAUCUUGUCCUCAUGUUUUCUGCCGCCACCAGGACCACCGAGAUUUCUGCCUUCAUUCUAUGUUCUCUACUGUCACUGAGGCUGGGGAGAAUGAGUAAGGAAUGGAGCAAAAACAGGAGAGAGGCAGAAGUAGCCCCUGAAGGACCAGUUACUGUUCUAUGAUGUCUUCCCUUGGAGAGGUUGGAGAGAAGGAAGAAAAAUCAUCACCCUGUUUCCUCUUGGUCAAUGUGCUGCCAUUUCCCAAUUUCUCUCUGUGAACAGCCUCAUGGACUAACCAAUCCCUGUGACCCCACACCUGGGUGUCAUGGCCCAAAGGACUUCAACUGUCCACCAUCAUCUUCUUCAACAUGAGGUGCUGUUGAAUGAGUAUCCGUAAGAUACAAUAUUGGGAAAUUUGAAAAGGAUCAUUUUUUAAAUGGGAUGGUACUGAUUAUGCUGUGGGGAGAGCAAGAAUUGAAAUCUCAUUCUCAUCAUGUCACUCAUCUGAAGAGGAUCUUAGUCUCUGUAGGGCUGUGAUCCCCUGUGAAAUGGGACUUGCUAUGCCUUCUUCAUUGAUGUCUGAGGAUCAAUGAGAAAAAGUAUAACAUGCCCAUAGGAUAUAGCAGAUUGCGCUUUAAGACACAUCAAUGGUGGCCCCAAUGCCUCUUGCCUCCCAGGUGGAGGUGACACUGUCCUACACCCAAGAGCAUAACAUCAUUUCCUACUACUCUUUUGCUUUCCUGUCCCCCUAGUUUACCAUCUAGUGUGACACUGGAGGAGUAGUUUCCCAUUGAUUCUGAGGUAGAAAGGAUAGUAUGGUGUAACACAAGAUGUAGGUUAGACAAAAGCCUGGACAUAUUCAUGACUACAGAAACUUGGGUGAGUCAUUUCUCCUAUGCUGGCCUCACCCUAGAACAAUAAUGCCUUAUAACAGUGGCCUGAGUUCUACGGGAAGAAAACAGUUUAAAUCUGGACCACUGAAGUUUGAGUGAUUUUUGUUUAUUUUUCUUAUCUGAAUCUGUGUUGGACACAAUUCGAAGCAGUCAUCUAAUGGCAUGCUUAAUUCUAAGAUGACAUCUAGUGGCACUCACAUGUGAGUAACUCCCACCCCUGUGAGUGUAGGGAGAACCUAUGAAUAUGAGAUAUCACAUCCAUAGUUAUAUUCUCUUAUACAGCAAAAAGGAGACUAUCUGUAUAGGCCUGACCCAACAAGUCAAGCCCUUUAAAAGCACAGUUUUCUCUGGCUGUUCAAAGGAGAGGAAGUCAGAGAUUCAAAGCACCAGAAACAUUAACACACCAUUGCUAACUGGAAGAUGAAGGAGGUCACAUGGCUGGGAAUUGGACUAGUACUUAGGAGCUGAAAGCACCUCUAGAUGACAACCAUCAAGGGAAUAGGGACUUCCAUGAAUAGUCAUGAGGAAACAACGAGAAGAAUGUGCCACCAAUAAGAAUGAUCUUGGAGGUAUAUUUCCCCCCAGUGACCUCAGUUGAGCCUAUACUGACACUUGAAUUCCAGCCUUGUGAGACUCUGAGCAGAGAAUAAGGUCAUUCCCUGCCAGACUUCUGACAUGUAGAUCUGUGAGCUAAAGAAUGGGUGUAGACAUGUGUCAAUACAUACAUGGUCACACAGCUGCA